rnacentral:rRNA from 1 species
AGUGAACGCUGGCGGUAGGCCUAACACACGCAAGUCGAACGGCAGCACAGGAGAGCUUGCUCUCUGGGUGGCGAGUGGCGGACGGGUGAGGAAUACAUCGGAAUCUACUCUGUCGUGGGGGACAACGUAGGGAAACUUACGCUAAUACCGCAUACGACCUACGGGUGAAAGCAGGGGCUCUUCGGACCUUGCGCGAUUGAAUGAGCCGAUGUCGGAUUAGCUAGUUGGCGGGGUAAAGGCCCACCAAGGCGACGAUCCGUAGCUGGUCUGAGAGGAUGAUCAGCCACACUGGAACUGAGACACGGUCCAGACUCCUACGGGAGGCAGCAGUGGGGAAUAUUGGACAAUGGGCGCAAGCCUGAUCCAGCCAUACCGCGUGGGUGAAGAAGGCCUUCGGGUUGUAAAGCCCUUUUGUUGGGAAAGAAAUCCAGCUGGCUAAUACCCGGUUGGGAUGACGGUACCCAAAGAAUAAGCACCGGCUAACCUCGUGCCAGCCGCCGCCGUAA